rnacentral:rRNA from 1 species
GGACUACCAUGGUUAUAACGGGUAACGGGGAAUUAGGGUUCGAUUCCGGAGAGGGGGCCUGAGAGAUGGCCACCACUUCCAAGGAAGGCAGCAGGCGCGCAAAUUACCCAAUCCCAAUUCGGGGAGGUAGUGACAAGAAAUACCAGUACAGGGCUCGAUGAGUACUGUGAUUGGAAUGAAUACAAUUUAAAAACCUUAAUGAGGAGCGAUUGGAGGGCAAGUCUGGUGCCAGCAGCCGCGGUAAUUCCAGCUCCAAUAGUGUAUAUUAAAGUUGCUGCAGUUAAAAAGCUCGUAGUUGGAUUUUGAAUUAUAAAAAUUUAACAUUCAUCUUUUAGAUGUGAUUUAAUUUUUAUAUUCUUCCUUUUGAUACGCUCCAUCAAAUUAUAUUUUUUGGAUUUAAGUGUUUCAAAUUGUUUACUGUGAAAAAAUUAGAGUGUUCAAAGCAGGCGUAACCUAGCCUUUGAAUAUAUUAGCAUGGGAUAAUGAAAUAGGACUUUAAUCCUACUUUCGUUGGUUUCUAGGGCUAAAGUAAUGAUUAAUAGGGAUAGUUGGGGUCACUAGUAUUUAAUUGUCAGAGGUGAAAUUCUAAGAUUUAUUAAAGACUAACUACUGCGAAAGCAUUUGACAAGGAUGUUUUCAUUAAUCAAGAACGAAAGUUGGGGGAUCGAAGAUGAUCGGAUACCGUCUAGUCUCAACCAUAAACUAUGCCGACCAAGUAUCCGAGGUUGUUAAUAUGGAUGACUCUUCGGGCACUUAUAGAGAAAUCAUAAGUAUUUGGGCUCCGGGGGGAGUAUGGUCGCAAGGCUGAAACUUAAAGGAAUUGACGGAAGGGCACCACAAGGAGUGGAACCUGCGGUUUAAUUUGACGCAACACGGGAAAACUUACCAGGUCCAGACACAGUGAGGAUUGACAGAUUGAGAGUUCUUUCUUGAUUCUGUGAGUGGUGGUGCAUGGCCGUUUCUAGUUGGUGGAGUGAUUUGUCUGGUUAAUUCCGUUAACGAACGAGACCUUAACCUAUUAAAUAGUUAUUUGAACUUGAUUUUUAAAAUCAAAUGUUUAAAAAACUUCUUAGAGGGACUCUUCACUGAGAGAGUGAAUGGAAGUUUGAGGCAAAAACAGGUCUGUGAUGCCCUUAGAUGUUCUGGGCCACACGCGCGUUACACUGACAUAUUCAACGAGCAUUAUCCUUACCCGUCGGGGUUGGGUAAUCUUUUAAAUGUAUGUCGUGCUGGGGAUAGAUCAUUGUAAUUAUUGGUCUUGAACGAGGAAUUCCUAGUAAGUGCGAGUCAUCAACUCGCGCUGAUUACGUCCCUGCCCUUUGUACACACCGCCCGUCGCUCCUACCGAUUGAAUGGUCCGGCGAGAACUCAGGAUGGAUAUGGAUUUUGGACACCGUUAGGUGUUCCAACCAUAUCCAGAAUUUGUUCAAACCUUACCAUUUAGAGGAAGGAGAAGUCGUAACAAGGUU